rnacentral:lncRNA from 1 species
GUACUGUAGAUUCAUUUAUUUUCGUGGGUACCAAUUUUCGUGGAUUGAAGAAAACUUACAUGUUCGUAGAUAUUUGAUUUCGUGGUUUUGCCGAAGUCUGCAUACAAGCCAUAGGAAAAUUUGUCAUUCGUUGAACAUUUAAUUUCGUGGUUCAACUGUUCCAACGAAAUCCACGAAAAUUGGUAUCCAACGAAUAAUAAUGAAUCCACAGUAUCUU